UUUCCAGUUCCUGCAUGAGUUGGACUAGACGACCUUUGGGAGUCCCUUCCAAUUCUAAGGAUUCUGUGAUCCUAUGAUUCUAUCUACGAGAAAAGGAAUCUAAAGCCUUAGUAUGCAUGCUUCCUCUGAUGAAAGUAAGCUUCUCACCUUGCGCUCCAGGACACAAGAAGUCAUCUCGGUGUCUACUUAAGUGUCUUUCCCCAAUUUAGAUUGCCUCCAGUAUUUUGGGAAUUGAUGAAGAGAUAAAAAGAUUUCCCUUUUUCUUCCCUUGAAAUACAAUCCAGUAAUGAGAGAGAAAAUUUUCCUCACUGUCAUUUAGGAAACAAUCAGUUCAGGCUGUCCACCAGGCUUGUUACUAACUGCUCAGUGCUCGUCCCUCGCUCAGUUGGAGUAUGGCUGCACACACAGGUUGCUCUGGCAAAGAGCCCAGACUGUCCAACUCCUGUCUCCCUCAGUCUCAGCCCAGUUCCGGGGAGAAUGAGGAAAGGAACGUGGUGAGGCUUCUGAACGACGUGGUGGGAGAAUGAGGAAAGGAACGUGGUGAGGCUUCUGAACGACGUGGUGGGAGUUGAGGGAGGUUAACAUCUCCCAUUAGCACUGCUGUUGCCAGAGACUGCUGGAGAGAGAACAGGAGCAGCGCACAAAAAUAGGGAAGAACUAAAGAUGCAGCGAUUCCUGAGGAAAGCAAAGAAGCAAGAGACAGCUGUGCGCUCCAGAAAGCCUUGUCCUCACCCAACAGCUCACACACCUUCCAGACUGCACAGUCACAGGCUGUGACCCUCAGCCUCUUUUAUCUGCAGAGCAAAAGGG
rnacentral:lncRNA from 7 species